UCCAGGCAAAUCCGGAUAAUCAAGGCUGAGGUGUGAUGACGAGGCACUACGGUGCUGAAGUAACAAAUGCCCUGCUUCCAGGAAAAGCCUCUAAGCAUCAGGUAACAUUAAAUCGUACCCCAAACCGACACAGGUGGUCAGGUAGAGAAUACCAAGGCGCUUGAGAGAACUCGGGUGAAGGAACUAGGCAAAAUGGUGCCGUAACUUCGGGAGAAGGCACGCUGGUGUGUAGGUGAAGUCCCUGCGGAUGGAGCUGAGACCAGUCGAAGAUACCAGCUGGCUGCAACUGUUUAUUAAAAACACAGCACUGUGCAAACACGAAAGUGGACGUAUACGGUGUGACGCCUGCCCGGUGCCGGAAGGUUAAUUGAUGGGGUUAUCCGUAAGGAGAAGCUCUUGAUCGAAGCCCCGGUAAACGGCGGCCGUAACUAUAACGGUCCUAAGGUAGCGAAAUUCCUUGUCGGGUAAGUUCCGACCUGCACGAAUGGCGUAAUGAUGGCCAGGCUGUCUCCACCCGAGACUCAGUGAAAUUGAACUCGCUGUGAAGAUGCAGUGUACCCGCGGCAAGACGGAAAGACCCCGUGAACCUUUACUAUAGCUUGACACUGAACAUUGAGCCUUGAUGUGUAGGAUAGGUGGGAGGCUUUGAAGCGUGGACGCCAGUCUGCGUGGAGCCAACCUUGAAAUACCACCCUUUAAUGUUUGAUGUUCUAACGUUGGCCCCUGACCGGGGUUGCGGACAGUGUCUGGUGGGUAGUUUGACUGGGGCGGUCUCCUCCCAAAGCGUAACGGAGGAGCACGAAGGUUAGCUAAUCCUGGUCGGACAUCAGGAGGUUAGUGCAAUGGCAUAAGCUAGCUUGACUGCGAGCGUGACGGCGCGAGCAGGUGCGAAAGCAGGUCAUAGUGAUCCGGUGGUUCUGAAUGGAAGGGCCAUCGCUCAACGGAUAAAAGGUACUCCGGGGAUAACAGGCUGAUACCGCCCAAGAGUUCAUAUCGACGGCGGUGUUUGGCACCUCGAUGUCGGCUCAUCACAUCCUGGGGCUGAAGUAGGUCCCAAGGGUAUGGCUGUUCGCCAUUUAAAGUGGUACGCGAGCUGGGUUUAGAACGUCGUGAGACAGUUCGGUCCCUAUCUGCCGUGGGCGCUGGAGAAUUGAGGGGGGCUGCUCCUAGUACGAGAGGACCGGAGUGGACGCAUCACUGGUGUUCGGGUUGUCAUGCCAAUGGCACUGCCCGGUAGCUAAAUGCGGAAGAGAUAAGUGCUGAAAGCAUCUAAGCACGAAACUUGCCCCGAGAUGAGUUCUCCCUGAGACUUUAAGUCUCCUGAAGGAACGUUGAAGACGAUGACGUUGAUAGGCCGGGUGUGUAAGCGCAGCGAUGCGUUGAGCUAACCGGUACUAAUGAACCGUGAGGCUUAACC
rnacentral:rRNA from 1 species